GGUUCCGUGGCCCAAUGGAUAAGGCGCCGCUCUACGGAAGCGGCGAUUCCAGGUUCGAUCCCUGGCGGAAUCA
rnacentral:tRNA from 1 species